UCACUGGACCUAGCAGAGCU
rnacentral:miRNA from 1 species